GGGUGGUAAUGCCGGAUGCUCCGACAUGACGCAUGUCGUGUCGGGAAAGACUCAUCGGUAUGGGAUGGGGUCGCGUCCUAUCAGCUUGAUGGCGGGGUAACGGCCCACCAUGGCUUCGACGGGUAGCCGGCCUGAGAGGGCGACCGGCCACAUUGGGACUGAGAUACGGCCCAGACUCCUACGGGAGGCAGCAGUGGGGAAUAUUGCACAAUGGGCGCAAGCCUGAUGCAGCGACGCCGCGUGCGGGAUGACGGCCUUCGGGUUGUAAACCGCUUUUGACUGGAAGCAAGCCCUUCGGGGUGAGUGUACCUUUCGAAUAAGCACCGGCUAACUACGUGCCAGCAGCCGCGGUAAUACGUAGGGUGCAAGCGUUAUCCGGAAUUAUUGGGCGUAAAGGGCUCGUAGGCGGUUCGUCGCGUCCGGUGUGAAAGUCCAUCGCUUAACGGUGGAUCCGCGCCGGGUACSGGCGGGCUUGAGUGCGGUAGGGGAGACUGGAAUUCCCGGUGUAACGGUGGAAU
rnacentral:rRNA from 1 species